rnacentral:rRNA from 1 species
CCUAGUAACGGCGAGUGAAGCGGCAACAGCUCAAAUUUGAAAUCUGGCCCUAGCGGUCCGAGUUGUAAUUUGUAGAGGAUGCUUUUGGUACGGUGCCUUCCGAGUUCCCUGGAACGGGACGCCAUAGAGGGUGAGAGCCCCGUCUGGUCGGAUACCAAUCCUCUGUAAAGCUCCUUCGACGAGUCGAGUAGUUUGGGAAUGCUGCUCAAAAUGGGAGGUAUAUGUCUUCUAAAGCUAAAUAUUGGCCAGAGACCGAUAGCGCACAAGUAGAGUGAUCGAAAGAUGAAAAGCACUUUGAAAAGAGGGUUAAAUAGUACGUGAAAUUGUUGAAAGGGAAGCGUUUGUGACCAGACUUGGGCUUGGUUAAUCAUCCGGCGUUCUCGCCGGUGCACUUUGCCAGCCCAGGCCAGCAUCAGUUCGCUGCGGGGGAAAAAGGUUUCGGGAACGUGGCUCCUCGGAGUGUUAUAGCCCGUUGCGUAAUACCCUGUAGUGGACUGAGGUUCGCGCAUCUGCAAGGAUGCUGGCGUAAUGGUCAUCAACGACCCGUCUUGAAACACGGACCAAGGAGUCGUCUUCGUAUGCGAGUGUUCGGGUGUUAAACCCCUACGCGUAAUGAAAGUGAACGGAGGUGGGAGCCUCGGCGCACCAUCGACCGAUCCUGAUGUUUUCGGAUGGAUUUGAGUAAGAGCAUACGGGGCCGGACCCGAAAGAAGGUGAACUAUGCCUGUAUAGGGUGAAGCCAGAGGAAACUCUGGUGGAGGCUCGCAGCGGUUCUGACGUGCAAAUCGAUCGUCAAAUAUGG